AUGGAAACCUCAAAGGAAGCAAGGACUAGGAAAUUAUCAUCAAACUGUGGUGUUUCAUGGAGGCCGACCUUUAUCAACAAUGAAGUAAUUGUACCUGGAAAUUGCUUUGAAAUUUUCAAUGCUUUGGAGCUAACUCAUGCUAUAAUUUUGCAGGUAAACCACAUGAUAUUGUUUUCCAGUCGCAUGUUUUUCCUGCACAAACCAUACAAAUUUUAUGAGCUUGCUUCACUACUAUAUGCAAAGGCGCUUCUCUGUCCAGAUCCGUGGCCACCACAUCGCCAUCAACGUCGGCGGCGUUCUGGAAGUGUCAGGGCGGCGGGUCGCGCCUUGCCCAUGUUGUCGUUGACGAUCCACCUGGACGACGGCCGACUGAGAGUUGCGCAGGAACUACAUGUUCGAGGACCACGGCUUGCGCACUGUGUUUCUUAUCACUGUUUGAACUAUGUGUGUCGUACAAUGCUUUAUUUUUGA
rnacentral:rRNA from 1 species